rnacentral:tRNA from 1 species
AAAAUCCGUCGACUUUAGAAAUCGUGAGGGUUCAG